GACGAACGCUGGCGGCGUGCUUAACACAUGCAAGUCGAACGGAAAGGCCUCUUUCGGGGGGUACUCGAGUGGCGAACGGGUGAGUAACACGUGAGUAACCUGCCCUUGACUUUGGGAUAACUUCAGGAAACUGGGGCUAAUACCGGAUAGGAGCUCCUGCUGCAUGGUGGGGGUUGGAAAGUUUCGGCGGUUGGGGAUGGACUCGCGGCUUAUCAGCUUGUUGGUGGGGUAGUGGCUUACCAAGGCUUUGACGGGUAGCCGGCCUGAGAGGGUGACCGGCCACAUUGGGACUGGGAUACGGCCCAGACUCCUACGGGAGGCAGCAGGGGGGAAUAUUGCACAAUGGGUGGAAGCCUGAUGCAGCAACGCCGGGUGCGGGAUGACGGCCUUCGGGUUGUAAACCGCUUUCGCUCAUGACGAAGCUUUGUGUGACGGUAGUGGGUAAAGAAGCACCGGCUAACUACGUG
rnacentral:rRNA from 1 species